UCUCUUAUAGCUCAGUUGGUUAGAGCGUACGGCUGUUAACCGUAAGGUCCCAGGUUCGAACCCUGGUGGGAGAG